GACGAGGUAGCGCAGCCUGGGAGCGCACCGGCGCCGAGCCGGAGGUCGCGGGUUCAAAUCCCGCCCUCGUCC
rnacentral:tRNA from 1 species